rnacentral:rRNA from 1 species
UACGGGGGGAGCAAGCGUUGUUCGGAUUUACUGGGCGUAAAGGGCGCGUAGGCGGUCAGCACAAGUCAGUUGUGAAAUCUCCGGGCUUAACCCGGAAAGGUCAACUGAUACUGUGCGACUAGAGUGCGGAAGGGGCAACUGGAAUUCUCGGUGUAGCGGUGAAAUGCGUAGAUAUCGAGAGGAACACCUGCGGCGAAGGCGGGUUGCUGGGCCGAUAUUGACGCUGAGGAGCGAAAGCGUGGGGAGCGAACAGG